CCCGCACGCCUCUUCGUCGGUCGGCACGGGCGCGGGCUCGUCCGGAAUCGGUUCUCCUGUGCUGGAUACCCAUCGGUACGGCAUUCGAUCGGCCCAACUAGUCCCAUCUCCGUUCCGCGCUGCCGCUCCGUGUGGGCGAGCGGCGGGGGACGGAACCCAAGGCACCCGUCGCGUCUCGCGCCGCAUCCGCCCCCCGGGGCGUUUGGGCGACGACCCGCGACGCGGUGCCCGCUGUCUCGGGUACGGAACAUCGGGUGGGUGCGGGGCCGUCGUCGGUCCCGGAUCACCACACGAACGCGUUCUACGCUGUAUGCGAACGACGGCCGUCGCGGCCUCCGUCUGCUCCCGGGCACCGGAGCCGCGCCGGCGUCGGCGAGGGAUGCUACCU
rnacentral:misc_RNA from 1 species